CAGUAGCCGCGGUAAUACGUAGGUGGCAAGCGUUGUCCGGAAUUAUUGGGCGUAAAGGGCUCGCAGGCGGUCUCUUAAGUCUGAUGUGAAAGCCCCCGGCUCAACCGGGGAGGGUCAUUGGAAACUGGGAAACUUGAGUGCAGAAGAGGUGAGUGGAAUUCCACGUGUAGCGGUGAAAUGCGUAGAGAUGUGGAGGAACACCAGUGGCGAAGGCGACUCUCUGGUCUGUAACUGACGCUGAGGAGCGAAAGCGUGGGGAGCGAACAGGAUUAGAUACCCGGGUAGUCCCUGUCUCUUAUAA
rnacentral:rRNA from 1 species